UAGCUGCGUUAAAUAGCGCGAAUUGCAGACACAUUGAGCGCUAAAAUUUCGAACGCACAUUGCGCCAUCGGGUUCAUUCCCGUUGGCAUGCCCGUCUGAGGGUCGGAUACCCUAUGUCACCGAUAUUUCGCUCGCACUACUAGGAUGUUCGCGCAGAGGUCGUAUGUUUGCGCGAAGUCCCUAGCGGUCGAGUCGUCGGUUAGUCGGAGCGCUACCGCGAGAACGGUACCGCUCUCAGAUGAAAUAGUUCUUCGGAACUUGCGUUUUUAACGCAACGCUUCGAUAGUAUGGCGGUUUCGGCCGGUUCGCGCCGCUCGUUUAUCAGCACGAAUCUAAAGCCUAAAUCCGCCGUCGAGCGUACUUCAUCAAUUGACCUCAGAUCGGACAUGAAUACCCGCUG
rnacentral:misc_RNA from 1 species